CCUACGGGUGGCAGCAGUGAGGAAUAUUGGUCAAUGGCCGAGAGGCUGAACCAGCCAAGUCGCGUGAGGGAAGACGGCCCUACGGGUUGUAAACCUCUUUUGUCGGGGAGCAAAGCGAGUCACGUGUGACUCUUUGAGAGUACCCGAAGAAAAAGCAUCGGCUAACUCCGUCCCAGCAGCCGCGGUAAUACGGAGGAUGCGAGCGUUAUCCGGAUUUAUUGGGUUUAAAGCGUGCGUAGGCGGUUUGUUAAAUCCAGAAGAAAAGCCCGGGGCUUAACCUCGGUUCGUUCGGGAAACUGGCGGACUAGAGUAUGGUAGAGGCAAAUGGAAUUCGUAGUGUAGCGGUGAAAUGCGUAGAUAUUAGGAAGAACACCGGUGGCGAAGGCGAUUUGCUGGGCCAUCACUGACGCUGAGGUACGAAAGCGUGGGGAGCAAAUAGGAUUAGAUACCCGUGUAGUC
rnacentral:rRNA from 1 species